rnacentral:lncRNA from 1 species
ACAUGAACAAAUCAAGUGUGUUGUCAUUUACCACCAUGUUUUUAGCAUAUGUGAAUAAGUUAUCGUGAUAGUAUUGUUAGAUAGAGACUUUGAUAAAUUUUUGCAACCACACAUUGUCAAAUUGAAAAACCCCAUUGUUGAAGGUGGUGAUAUGAAAUGACAAUUAUAUAAAAUCACAAGGAUUGGGUAGAAUUUGAGGGAAACUUGUUCUAGUUACCUAGUUACCUUCUUCCAUUUUCAUGAGCAAAUCUUAUUUUAGGUGCAAAUUGGUUUAAAGCAAUUGAACCCAUGUAGUAGAUUAUGAUUCCUUGAACUUAAAUAUUUUUCAUAAUGUUCAAUUUGUUAUGUUGUAAAAAGAUGUGGAUUAUGUCCCUAAGCAAGCUCAUUCCAUUUUUGAAGUUUAUAGUAUGAAGUUGGUGGAUCACAGUGUAUAAACCUUACCAUUAAUCGAUUUACUUGUGGAUAUGGAGCCCAAGUUAGCUUUUCUACUACGUUCAUAUGCUUUGAAUUUUGCUACUCCAACUUCAUUGCCACUUCCCCAAUUCCAUGAUCAUUCUAUUCCUUUAACGAAACAAGUUACUCGUUAAGGUGAAACCAUAGCGUUAUUCUUAUAGUAAAAAAGAAGAAAUUGAGAAGUUAAUGGUACAUAUACUUCAUGAGGGAAUUACUCAAUCAAGCAAUAUGCUAAGCUAUCAACACCUUUGAUUAACUUUUUGCAUAAGGAUAAUUUUUAGUGGAAUGAAGUGGGAGCGAUGUUGAGUUAAGGAAACCAUCCCAUUGCAUAUUUCUCAAAGAAGUUAUCUAUAUGACUACAAAAAUAGUCGACAUAUAGAUAAGAAUUUUAUGCUAAUAUGGAGACGUUGACUGAGUUCAAAAGCAUCUCUGUCUCAUAUACAUAGUAGCUCAUCCGUUGUGUUCACUGCUAGCCCCAUUUUUUCAUUCAACCAUGAAAUCCCCC